GAAGUGCGAUAAGUGUCAUGACUUGCAGAUUCCCGAGAGCUGACAAAUCUCUGAAUGCAAAUGGCGGUCGUCACAACGGCCAUGGAUUGCAGAGUGUAGUUGUUCAUACUCAUCAUCCCUCUCUUCAAUGAUACUAUCUUGAAGAGCAGAUGGGGAUCUGCGCUUGCGACUUUCCUCGCGAGUGUGAAGCAGCUUCAUAUGAGGGCAGAGAGCUGUCUUCGGACAGUUCUCUGACGCUUCGGAUUAUGCGCCUUAUAUUGGGUGUUGAGCGAGCGGAAAUCCCUCAGUUUCGAGAAGCAACUCUUUAUCUUUUCCAAGCCACCUCUGCGAUGCAGGAGUACCCGCUGAACUUAA
rnacentral:misc_RNA from 1 species